AAAUGUAUCGUUUUAACGAAGUAAACCGCCUAUUAAUAUAUUAAAGUCUUCGGUCCUUCAAACAAUAAAUUAUCAUAAAUGGUUUGAAUUGUUUGACAGCUGUCGUGUUUAGCGUCAUUAAAAGAAAUAAUAAUUUUAUCGCAUACAAAAUAUUUAAAUACCGCAGUUUAUCUCAUCGUUUGUAACUCAGCCCUAUGGUAACUUUUUUGCUAUACUUAUGAUACACAAUUUAUUUUAAAUAUGAAUUCUAGAAUUUACGUUUGUGUCACAUGCAUUGUAUUUUGAAUAAAAAAAAACAAUUUUCAAACUGUUCAAAAAGGAUUAUCUCUUAUUUUCGUGUAGUCCUGAUUUUUCUGAACUUUUUUUUAAACUAUUCAAAUCUCAAGGGUCAAAAGUUAUUGAAUUUUACUCGAUUUCUAUCUUACGAGUUCAGGAAAAUCGAAAAUGAAUUCGCACGAAUAUGGAAAUACUGCGGUCCAGUCUCCCUCACUUACAAAAACCACACAAGCAGACGGACCAAACGUUUCCUUUAAUUUUUGAACUUUUCCCAGUUACCUAUCCCCCCCAAUGAAAGUAUAUUAAUUAUAUAAAAUAUAAUUUUUUGUUACAAAGUCUACCGUUUAUUUUUAAGAGGACACGCUGUGUAAGCGAAAUCUUACUCUACUGAAUGGGAUGAAUUGAGUUUACUGCGUGUUCAUUUGGACAUAAUUUUGUAUUCGGAUUUAAAAGUGCACAAUAAUAUGAAAUUGUGAAUUUAAAGCACAAGUACGUUAAAUGUAAAUAUAUUGACAUUUAAUUAUUUUCAAAGACAUUAAGACACUUUAUAUGCGUUGUUAUUAAAAUUAUUAUUAAUUAUGUUACACACAUUACUUUGUUUGAAAAACACAUUAUUAUUUUUAGCACCGAGUGUGGGAAUUAAUAUUCGGCCAAGGGACGUCUAUUAUUAUUAUAACAGUGCAUCAUCCGUAGUGCGUAUAAAAUUAUACCGGUUUGAGGUUAUAAAAUAUGAUUAUAAUAUUAUCCUUGGCGGUUCGCGUUAAUUCAUUAGACUUAAUUGAACCGAUUAUUUUACGGGACCGAGGCGCGUCGUCGUCGUCUAUAAUGGUCUCGGCCGUAAGUAAAGUUUUCAUUGUCUUCGUACUGCGCGUUGUUAAGAUUUCGUCCACGGGACAAAAUAUUAAUUAUUUACAUCGGCGCGCUUGACGGUCGCCAUCAAACUUGAGAAUAAUAUUUAUUUCCGUUUUUGCACGUUAACGGUCGACGAUUACGCCUUACGUCUAACUAGAGGACAGAUAGAUGCGAUUAGUGUCGGCGUUGUGCUCUUCUUAUCAGUCUGCUAUCAGUAAUUACUGGAUCCAAUUCAGUUCCAAACAAUUAAAUAACAGUCCCAUUAAAAACACACACACACUAUUUUUUUAAACGCGUAUAUUAUACUCGGAUAUCAGUGUAUUUAUAAUUUUUAAACCGAGAUUUCAAUAUUAUUAUCAAACGAGAGUUACUCGAAUGAGGUUUU